rnacentral:rRNA from 1 species
GGGUACGGGCAGACUAGAGUGCGGUAGGGGAGAUUGGAAUUCCUGGUGUAGCGGUGGAAUGCGCAGAUAUCAGGAGGAACACCGAUGGCGAAGGCAGAUCUCUGGGCCGUAACUGACGCUGAGGAGCGAAAGCAUGGGGAGCGAACAGGAUUAGAUACCCUGGUAGUCCAUGCCGUAAACGUUGGGCGCUAGAUGUAGGGACCAUUCCACGGUUUCUGUGUCGCAGCUAACGCAUUAAGCGCCCCGCCUGGGGAGUACGGCCGCAAGGCUAAAACUCAAAGGAAUUGACGGGGGCCCGCACAAGCGGCGGAGCAUGCGGAUUAAUUCGAUGCAACGCGAAGAACCUUACCAAGGCUUGACAUAUACCGGUAACGGCCAGAGAUGGUCGCCCCGCAAGGUCGGUAUACAGGUGGUGCAUGGUUGUCGUCAGCUCGUGUCGUGAGAUGUUGGGUUAAGUCCCGCAACGAGCGCAACCCUCGUUCUAUGUUGCCAGCACGUUAUGGUGGGAACUCAUAGGAGACUGCCGGGGUCAACUCGGAGGAAGGUGGGGAUGACGUCAAAUCAUCAUGCCCCUUAUGUCUUGGGCUUCACGCAUGCUACAAUGGCCGGUACAAAGGGCUGCGAUACCGUAAGGUGGAGCGAAUCCCAAAAAGCCGGUCUCAGUUCGGAUUGAGGUCUGCAACUCGACCUCAUGAAGUCGGAGUCGCUAGUAAUCGCAGAUCAGCAACGCUGCGGUGAAUACGUUCCCGGGGCCUUGUACACACCGCCCGUCAAGUCAUGAAAGUCNGGUAACACCCGAAGCCAGUGG